GCUGAGGGAUAGCUCAGUUGGUAAAGCAUGAGACUGUCAAUCUCAGGGUCAUGGGGUUCAAGUCCCACGCUGGGUG
rnacentral:tRNA from 1 species